rnacentral:lncRNA from 10 species
GGGUCUCACUCUGUUGCCCAGGCUGGAGUUCAGUGACGCAAUCAAGGCUCACUGCAGCCUCGACCUUUGGGAUCAGGUGAUCCUCCUACCUCAGCCUCCUCAGUAGCUGGGACCACAGGCACACACCACCAUGUCUUUUGUAUUUUUGGUAGAGACAGGGGUCUCACCAUGUUGUCCAGGCUGAUCUCAAACUCCUGGGCUCAAGCAAUCUGCCUACCUUGGCCUCCCAAAGUGCUGGAAUUACAGGUGUGAGCCACUGCACCCGGCCCCAGUGCUCUUGAUGGAUGUGUAGAGACAAGCCAGUUGGUUGGCAACACCAGCAGCCCUCCCCUAGGCUAGCAGCACGCUGCCUCAGUGGGUGGAAGCCUGGACGUCCAGCUGAAACCAAUGCAGAUUUCAGCUGAAAGGAGAACGUGCCAGCACGGCUGGAAGCCCGACUGCACAGCUCAGCAUCCUCCAACUUGGUUGGGCUCCCCCCUCACUAUGCUUUUCGAGGCAGAGGAGACCAGGGUGCUUCCUCUCAGAUGCAACCCUGGUGCAUCCAGGCCUGGUUGCCCUGACCAAGCUCACCCCUCCACAGGAUCAUGAGAAUUUCUGGGGGGCCAUGUGCCUCUUGCUUUGAGCCUGCUCCACCUAUUGGGGUGUUUGCUGUAUUCCACUCAACAGGAAUAAAGCAAGUCUAGUGUCAAGCAGCGCAGCAGCGUCUCUGAUCCGAAGUGAAAGCAAGAACCCAGGCGGCUCCCGGCUGGAGGAGAAAGUCCAUUCGGCCUGAGCUGCCUCCAGCCUCUCUUCACGACUACCGCCCAUGCUUCAUGAUCACUGCACACAUGGCCUGCAGGUGGGUUCACCCAGCCCGGGCUGAUCACGAUUUUCCCAAACACAGAACAAACGCUCCCCACUCUCUACUCUCUCUGGCAGAGGGUUCCCUUGUUUGGAAUGGCCUCUUCUGCCUACCCCAACCCUCCCCAUCCCAAAGGCAUGGCUUGGACUCCCCUCCUCCAUGAAGCCUUCCCCACUGCAAUUGCCACCUUGUCCUGUGAACACAUGGUGCCAGCGUUCCCAUAAUCCACCGACCUCAUGACAUCUCUUGUGUUGUGAUUUAAUUUUUUGGACUUCUGCCUUUUUUCCACAACUACACUACAGACUUUUUUUUUCUUUUGAGACAGAGUUUCACUCCCGUUGCCCAGGCUGGAGUGCAAUGGUGCCAUCUCGGCUCACUGCAACCUCCGCCUCCUGGGUUCAAGCAAUUCUCCUGCCUCAGCCUCCCAAGUAGCUGAGAUUACAGGCGCCCGCCACCACUUCCAGCUAAUUUUUUGUAUUUUUAGUAGAGACGGGGUUUCACCAUGUUGGCCAGGCUGGUCUUGAACUCCUGACCUCAGGUGAUCCGCCCGCUUCAGCCUCCCAAAGUGCUGGGAUUACAGGCGUGAGCCACCAUGCCUGGCCCACUACAAACUUUUGGAGGCAGGGUCAUGUGUUAUUCCAAAAAAUAUACUAUCUUAUGCACAUAAAGGGGCUUGGUGACUAUUUGCUCAAAGAAAGGAGGAGGAGGCCGGGCGCAGUGGCUCACGCCUGUCAUCCCAGCACUUUGGGAGGCCAAGGUGGGUGGAUCACCUGAGGUCAGGCAUUCAAGACCAUCCUGGCCAACAUAGUGAAACCCCAUCUCUACUAAAAAUACAAAAAAUUAGCUGGGCGUGGUGGUGCAUUCCUGUAGUCCCAACUACUCAGGAGGUUGAGGCAGGAGAAUUGCUGGAACCCGGGAGGUGGCAGUUGCAGUGAGCUGAGAUCGUGCCAUUACACUCCAGCCUGGGCAAUAAGAGCGAAACUCCAUCUCCACAAAAAAGAAAGAAGGAGGAAAGAAACGAAGAGAGGGAAGGAAGGAAUGAUGGCGGUCAACCCACUUUGUAUAAUUCUCUAGCUGUUGCCCUCUGAGGGUGUGGGGAUCUCUUUUCUUUCUUAAACUAAGCUUCAUAAGAGUUUGUCACUUGUGGGACUUCUCAGCCUCCCAAGGAGAUCAAAGGGAGCCUUGGCUUCUGCCCUCCACCCCGACCCCUGACUGCUUUUCCAGAUGGCAACCUAUUCAAGACCAGGGGAGGGGGCUACAGCUGGCCUGUGAGAGGGGACACAACUCGGUGUGCAAGGGAGCCAUGGGAGGAGCCAGGGCUGCUCCCCACUCCAGACAGGUCUGUGAGAGAGGAGCACAGGGAUUGCACCUAGCAGUGGAGCCAUGGGGACCUGGAACUGGCGGCUCACCCCGGGCAAAAUCAUGGUCCUCUUGCUCCUGCCUCUGGGGUUCUCCGCUGUGCUGUGGGCUCUCAGCCGCUGGCCACAGACAGGCCCUUCACCUUGGUGGCGGAGCAGUGAGCUAGAUAGAGCCUCCCCAACUUCUCCCAGCCCCCACUUCUCCAGCCCCCACUUCUCCAGCCUCCACUUCUCUAGCCCCCACUUCUCCAGACCCCACUUCUCCCAGCCCCCACUUCUCUAGCCCCCACUUCUCCCAGUCCCCACUUCUCCCAGCCCCCACUUCUCUAGCCCCCACUUCUCCCAGUCCCCACUUCUCCAGCCUCCACUUCUUCAGCCCCCACUUCUCCAGACCCCAGUUCUCCAGCCCCCACUUCUCCCAGCCCCCCCUUUCCAGCCCCCAGUUCUCCAGCCCCCAGUUCUCCUAGCCCCGACUUCUCCAGCCUCCACUUCUCCUAGCCCCCACUUCUCCAGUUCUCCAGCCCCCACUUCUCCAGCCUCAGCACAUGGCAGGGAGGGGAUUUCCUUUGGGGCCUUAACUGGGAAUUGUUCUCUUGCCCCACGUCAGCUGGCUGCUGGGGGAGAGUGUUCAGUAGUUUCAUUUCCCUCAUUUGGAACGGAGUUUUUAAGAACCAAGAAUUAAAACCGGAAAGAGGAGAGCCCACCGCCCACAUUGGUACCACUCAACGCCUCAUGAUGCCCAUCCUGGAAAAGCGGAGGGGUCAAUGCAGAGGCUGAAGGCAGUGCGGGGGUGGGGUGGGGCUGGGGGCUCUUCCCCGCGUGUUUCUCCUCCUGGAGGAGGUGGCGGUCUCCAAUCCUGAGAUCAGCUCCUCUAGCUCCCUGCUGCCCAUGGCCUCCCGCAGCCACUGACUCCGGUGACUGACCUCUGUGGGGACACUGCCUCUUCCUGUCCUGAAACACCGACAGUAUCAACAUAUGAUCAAAGAGUCCAGGUGGUGCAAAGAUAACAUGGAAGUGUCCUAUCAGUGCCAGGGCGUGGAGUGGGACAGCGAGGGGAAGGGGCACCCAUAACUAACCAUGGUCUGGUCCAGGGCCGAAAGGACCUUGGGGAAAAUGGGCACGCGGUGCUGGGAGAGUCCUGGGAGCGGGAGAGCACGAAGGGCACAGCCGCUGGGACAGUGCAGCCCAAACUUUCUGGAAGUGUGAACUGGACCCUCCUGGGGUGGGACCUGGCAUGGGGUAGGACACUAGGGAUCCAACAAGGAAAAUAAGGCCAUGCCAAGGAGGAGGCUGCAAGGGGAUGGCUUUGUGGCUGACUCUGUCCAGCGUUUCCCAUGGGGCGUCCCAGCUCAUCUUUGCAGUUUUGCCUUCCCCCUGGACAGUGAGUCCUGCCAGGCAGGGUCUCUGGCUUGUUCACAUUUGUAUAUAUCCCCAAGAAUACUUGGUCUAGCACCUUGUAGGGGCUCAGCACAGGCUAAAGUGUCAUUUGCUCUAGAGCUGUUGGAGAGGUUGAGGACUUAGUCAUUUGUGGUCAUUGAUAAGUCCUCUUUCUUUUCUUUCUUUGCUUUUUUCUUUUCUUCUUCUUCUUCUUCUUCUUUUUUUUUUUGACGGAGUUUCGCUCUUGUUGCCCAGGCUGGAGUACAGUGGCACGAUCUCGGCUCACGGCAACCUCCGCCUCCUGGGUUCAAGCGAUUCUCCUGCCUCAGCCUCCCAAGUAUCUGGGAUUGCAGGCAUGUACCACCACGCCUGGCUAAUUUUUGUAUUUUUAGUAGAGACAAAGUUUCACCAUGUUGUCCAGGGUGGUCCCGAACUCCUGACCUUAGGCGAUCCGCCGGCCUCAGCCUCCCAAAGUGCUGGGAUUACAGGUGUGAGCCACCGCGCCCGGCCGAGAAGUCCUUUCUCAUAAUUGGUGAAUAUAAAUCCCGGAGUCCUCACCACAGGCUCCGGGCCCUGCAUGAUCCGGGCCCCGCUGGAUUCGGCCCCUUCUCUGCUCCCUCUGACUUCACGCCCUAUCACUCUGCUCCUCACUUCCUCUGCAAAAAGCCUAGCACCCUCCGGCAGCUCCUCCUUGGAGCCGGCUCUGGCUCCAAACAAAAGAUACCCAAACAAAGGCAAGAAAGUGGUGAAUUCCUAGAACCGGGAGGGCGCGGGCUCGGGGGCCAGCUGCAGGUUCCUGAGACGUGGGAGAGGAGGAGGAGUGAACACAGACCGCAGGCCAGUGAGUGGAGCAAGGUGCAAACUGCCAGAGAGCGGAGGCCCGGCCCGAAGACCCCAGACUCGCCUCCCGCCCACCCGCCCCCACGUGAAAAGGCACCAGAUCCUAAGCGCUAACAGCGAAGGGCGGGACCGGCAGAGGGCUCCCUGCGGCGCCUCUCGAGGCGCGAGCGACCGGAAGGAAAGGCGGGAGGCUCAGCAGCGCGGCGGUGGGAGGAGCGCGCCCUUGCUGAUUUCAUGGAGGCCCGGGGCCGCGGGCGCUGUUCUCCUUCCUGUGCCGAGUGUGGUUUGCUAUCAAGCGGUGGCAGUUCAGCCACAAUCAGGGGCAGGGGGAGGGAGAGGCCCCCCGAAGAGGCAGAGGCCCUGCCUCGGCCGCCCUGAGCCUGGAAGGUGAUUGGCUAGAGCGACUCCCGGCCGGGAGCGGAAUGAAUGGCGGGGACCGGGGCCUCUGGGUGGUGCGAGCAUCAUGUUGCCUUUUAAUAUGGAGCAUGUGCCAUAGCUCUCCAGGAGAACCCCUCUGUGUCACAGCGAACCUCAGUCACUGACACUCAAAAGAAGGAAUUAUUUCAACUCAAUAAUAAACAAAUAACCCUAUUUUAAAAUCAGCAAAGGGUGUUACCACAUUUCCACAGAAGGUAUACAAAUGGCCAGUAAUCAUGUGAAAAGAUGCUUGAUAUCAUUUGUCAUCAGGGAAAUGCAAAUCAAAACUGCAAUGAGAGGCCAGGCGCUGUGGCUCACACCUGUAAUCCCAGCGCUUUGGGAGGCUGAGGCAGGUGGAUCGCUUGAGCCCAGGAGUUCAAACCCAGCCUGACCAACAUGGUGAAACCCCGUCUCUACAAAAAAAUACAAAAAUUAGCCGGGCACAGUGGCCUGUGCCUGUAAUCCCAGCUACUCAGGAGGCUGAGGCAGGAGACUCACUUGAACCCAGGAGGCAGAGGUUGCAGUGAGCCGAGAUUGUGCCAUUGCACUCCAGCCUGGGUGACGGGAGUGAAACCCUGUCUAAAAAAACCCCAAAAACAAAAACUACAAUGACAUAUCACUUUAUAUGCACUAGGAUGCCUAGCAUCAAAAGGUCAAAUAAAACAAGUAUGUGGAGAAACUGCGACCCUCAUACACUGCUGGUGGGAAUGUAAGAUGGUGCAGAAACUUUGGAAAGGAGUCUGGCAGCUCCUCAAAAGGUAAAAGCAUGGAGUUAUCAGGUGGCUCACAAAUUCCAUUCCUAGGGACCUAAAAGAAAUGAAGACAUGCUAUACAAACACCUGAAGACAUGCUAUACUAACACCUGAAGCCAUGCUAUACUAACACCCGAACAUGAAUGUUCAGAACAGCAUCAUUCAUGAUUACCAAGAAGUGGAAAAAACCCAAAUGUCCAUCAACUAACUGACGAGUGGAUACAGUAUAUCCAUGCAGUGGAAUUUCUUUUUCUCUUUCUUUCUUUCUUUUCUUUCUCUUUCUUUCUUUCUUUUUCUUUCCUUCUUUCUUUCUUUCUUCUUUCUUCUUUUUUUUUUUUUUGAUGGGAUCUCUUUCUGUCACCCAGGCUGGAGUUCAGUGAUGCUAUCUCAGCUCACUGCAACCUCCUCCUGGGCUCAAGCGAUCCUCCCACCUCAGCCUCCCCAGUAGCUGGGACCACAGGUGCCUGCCACCACACCCGACUAAUUUUUUGUAUUUUUGGUAGAGAUGGGGUUUCUGCCCAGGCUGGUCUUGAACUUCUGAGCUCAAGCGAUCCACCCGCCUCAGCCUCCCAAAGUGCUGGGAAUACUGGCUUGAGCCACUGCGCCCAGCUAUGCAGUGGAACAUUUCUCAGCCAUAGAAGAGAAUAAAGUACUGAUACAUGCUACAACAGGGACAAACUUUGAAAACAUUAUGCUAAGUGAAAAAAGUCAGUCACAAAUGAUCACAUGUUACAUGAUUUCAUUUACAUGAAUUGUUCAGAGAAGGCAAAUCUGUAGAGAGAGAAAGAUUAGUGGUUACCUAGGUCUGGGGGUUUGGGGGAAAAUGGGAGUGACUGGUAAUGGGUAUGGGGUUUCCUUUUGAGGUUAUGAAAAUGUUCUAAAAUUGUGGUGAUGGUUUCAUGAGUAUGUGAACAUGCUAAAAGCAAUUGCCUUGUACACAUUAAAUGCGUAAAUUAUAUGGUAGAUGAGUUAUAGCUCAAUAAAGCUGUUCUAUAAAAAUAAACCACUGGGCACUGUGGCUCACGCCUGUAAUCCCAGCACUUUGGGAGGCCGAGGCAGGCAGAUCACCUGAGGUCAGGAGUUCGAGACCAGCCUGACCAACAUGGUGAAACCCUGUUUCUACUAAAAAUACAAAAUUAGUUGGGUGUGGUGGUG